UCGGGCACUCACCGUCCCCUAUAGGCACGCGAGCCCCCACGGCCGCCGACAUGUCGGUGUCCCCCGUGAAGCGGCAGAAGAUGGAGUCGGCGCUGGACCAGCUCAAGCACCACACCACGGUGGUGGCCGACACCGGGGAUUUCAACGUGACCUGUCCAGAUCUGGGACGUGUUUGGGGUUUUUCCAAACUCAAGGUUGGAUGGGGCUUGGAGGAGCCUGGUCCAGUGGGACUGGAACUGGAUGUGCUUCAAUAUCCCCUCCAACCCAAACUACUCCAGGAUUCCAUCACUCUCUGACAGGCUUAAAAGGUGGUUUGGGGUUGGAGAAAAAUAAGGGGAAUGGUGGAUUUUGUUACGGUGGAGCUGUUUCCCUCUUGCAUUACCAGGAUGCAAAAAGUGAGAGGCAACUUGAGGACAUGUGCUCAGUCUGAGAGAAAUAAUGUUGAAAAAAUUCAGCCUGCUGAAUACUGCAGAGACAGUAAAAUUCCAAAUGGGUUGUAUGAUCUGACAAUUGGAAGGAUACUUAAUGGAUAAGCCACAAAAGUUACAGGAAAACACCCAGGAGUACAUCCAGGAAAACAUCUUGGAAUUAAUGGAUAAAAUCAUGGUGUAUUUUCCUUAUGCAGCACAGCAUGUGCUUGAUUUUAGCAUGUCUAAAACUGUUAUGUUCCUGAAAACAGGCAAGUGUGGGAUAAUUUAUAGGCAGAAUUUGUGAUAUAAAAAUAUUUGUGGUUAUAUGUAUAUAUAGGGUCGAUAUUUAUCAGUUAGAUACUCUGUAAUACAUAUUGUAUAUAUUUUAAUAGGUGUGCAUAAAUAUGUAUAUUUUAUAUAAUCUAUUUUUUUAUAUGUGCACAUAAAUAUUUUUCAUCACACAAUCUACCUGUCUGGGAGCCUUGUUGGUGAGCUCCCAACUCAUUCCUGGGGAAAACUUCAGGCACAAGUUACUUGGUUUAAUUGUUUUCUCUUCUUCUUAAUUAUUUUACUCAUCUGGAAUAACAAAGCCAGCUGUACAUGUCUAGUUCCAGGUGGGACCAAGGAGCUUUUCUGCACAAUCCAGAGUGGAUUUUAAGAUAUUCAUUAGUCAGGGAAGUGAGGAAUAGGAUUUUGAACACUCCUGGGCUGUGAGUCUGGCCAGAGGUCCCUCCUAACAGAGCAAAAACCCCAUGGCCCAAGGGCACCAGAGCUUUUGGGGAUGGAGAACUUAAUGGCAGCAGUUGGCAGCUCUGCCCGUUCAACUGAUAAAAUAAAUCCAAGACUUCCCUAGAGGAGUGUUUUUCCUGGAUAUGUGUAAAUACAAGCACACCUUUUUACUCUUGAGUGAGUGAGGUUUGGGGUUGUUUCCCUUAAAAUUUAAAUUCCCAGGCUUUAGUUCAGCUCCCCUGGCCAGGCCUGAUGUGAGGGCGAGGGCUGGAGGUGGGAGCAGAUUCCAUCACAGCCCAGCCAUGCCCAGGAGCCUCCCUAGGCUGUGGCAGCAGCCUCGGGAAGGGAUCAGACAUUUGGAACUGCCCAGACUGCAGGAAUGGAGGAGGAACUGACCUGCACAAGUAAUUCAGGCUCCCACAGAAAGCUGCUGGGCCAUGGUUCCAGGCCAGCAGUGUCAGGACUGUGGCAUCCUCAGUGCCACAUCAGUGGUUAAUUUCCUUGGAGCUCUCAGGAUCAGGAUGAAGUGGUGUUCAUGUCCCCUGGGAAAGCAGGAGGAUCAGUGCUGUAACCAUGUCUCUUUCCUGCUCUCUGCACCUCCUCCAGGAUGCCCUGGAGUGCCCUGGCUCAUGGCAGUUUAAUCUGUGUGGAAUGGCAUCCCAUACCUGACUCUGCAGCUGGGACAGUCCCUGAGUGUCCCAUGGAGUCCUGGGGUUAUUGCACAGACAGUCAGGCCUGAAAGUCACCUGCAGCAAGAGCUCAGCACCUGGCCACAGAGGCAAUUCCAGCAUCUGAAAGAAAGAGGUGAUUUCUUUUGUUUCAAAGUUAUUUCAAGUUCUCAGACCCAAACCAACCUUUGGCCUUGAUUUUGGCUGGGUGAAUCCUGAGCAGUGGGCACAGGUCCUGUCACUCAUGCUGAGGGGAGUGAUGCUUUCUGGGGAAAUGAGCUGAUUUCCAAAGUUCACUGCCUGCCCCAUGCCUGGUUUGCACAGGAGAAAACCUCACCCAUGAAGGGAUUUUGCUCCAUCCAAUCCCAUCUGCCCAGGCUGUUCCAUGAGGAUGGUGCCAGGCUGGGGCAGCACAGGCAGAUGCAGCUCUCAGCUCUCUGCUCCAAACACAGCUCUGGGCUCCUCUGCAAACUCCUCUGCCAUGAGGUUUUCUCCAGCAGAAAUCAAGGAAUGGCUCACAGCAGCUGGAAAUUAAGUUAUCACACAGGGAAGUAAAAGAUAAAUAUCUCAUUUUCCCCUCAAAAGGUUCAUGCUCUGCCCUACAGAUUAUUGCAGGGUUUUCCCCCAAGAUUUGCCUUACCUGUCCAUUACUAAUUAUAUGAUUUUUACCUCAAAAUAUUAAUUCUCUAUCCUGGAUAAUAUGUCAAUUUCUAUCCCUAAAAUUUUCACUAUGUGUCCCUAUGUGACUCUCUUAGUUUACCUCAAGAUGUUCAUUCUCUUCCCUGGGAAUUGCUUUAAGUUUUUCCCCCAAAUUGUCCCUUUCUGUCCACUUCUGAUUUCCUCAUUUUUUACGAGAAAGUAUUCAUGCCCUGCUCUGGAGAUUAUCUCCAGCUUUACCCCAGUUUUCUAACCCCUAUCUGUUCAUUACUGAUUGCCUGAUUUUUACCUCAAGUAUAUUCAUUCUCUUCCCUAGAGAUUACCUCAGAUUUUACCCCCAAAACUUUCCCUACCUGUGCACUACUGAUUGCCACAGUUUCCUUCAAAAUAUUCAUGCUCUCCACUAUAGGCCACCUCAAGUUUACUCCUAAAGUUUUCCCUACAUAUCCACUACUGAUUACCUCAAUUUUUACCUCAAAUCAGUCAUUCUCUAUGUACAGACACUGGACAGUAAACCAUACAAAGAUUUAAAAGUCUGCAGCAGGAAUGGCAGAAAGUUUUCCAUGAAUAUCAGAAGUUAUUUUUUUCCCUCAGACUGCAGGACUGAAUCUUUGCAACUAAGAGACAAGAAAGCUGUUAUUAACACUUAAACCUCUCAAAUGCUGUCAUUUCUCAGACAACUGUGCCAGCACUGAGCUACUUCUAUAUGCCUGCAGUGCUUUGGGGAGGAGCAAGAUGACAUCCCACUUCUGUCUGCAGAAAUUUCAAGAACAUAAAAAGUCAUUUCCCUUCCCUCUCUCUGACCCAUAACCAAAGCAGCCAUGUAGAACAACAUGGACUAUUCAUGGAAGGGAUGAUUCAGUUGUGGGUAAAAAACAGACCAUGCAAUGAGACACCUCCUGAAACAGAAAUAAAUCCCAGCUGCAGCAAAUCCCACUGCUACAUUUAGAAACCCUUCAGCAAAACCCUUGGAAAAUCAAAAGUGAUGUGUGGGGAUCUGGAGCUCCAGGGGACUGAGGAAAGCAGCCAGCAAACAGUUUCCACUACUUCUCACUCCAGCCACUGCAGCAAUGACAGCUUCCCUGGAAUUUCAUAUCCCCAGUGUGUCCUUCAAGCUCAACAGGUGAACACACAGCUACUCCAGGACUGAUUUCCUUUGGACCUCAAGCAGCACAGACCCUCUGGGAGGAAGUGAAAUCCAAGGGCUGAUGUCAACACUGUUUUCCCACUUGCACUCUUCCCACAUUUUCUCCUUCCAGGGAUGCAAGUCCCAGUCCCAGAAGGCAAAACUGCCAUUCCAUCCAGUACAAAACCUGCCAGAAAAGACCAGGACUCCAGGAGCCAGCAGCCAUUUCUCCUGAAUUUUCUGCUUACAGGUAUUUUAAUUCUGCUUUUCUUCAGGGGUGCUUUUCUACCAAGGUAAUUACCAUCUUUUUUUUAUCUCGAAUAAAGUUUUUGAAAGCUGA